rnacentral:rRNA from 1 species
ACGAACGCUGGCGGCGUGCUUAACACAUGCAAGUCGAGCGGUAAGGCUCCUUCGGGAGUACACGAGCGGCGAACGGGUGAGUAACACGUGAGCAAUCUGCCCAUCUCAUCGGAAUAAACCAUUGGAAACGAUGGCUAAUGCCGAAUACGACCACCUUGGGCAUCCUUGGUGGUGGGAAAGCUCCGGCGGGAGAUGGAUGGAGCUCGCGGCCUAUCAGCUUGUUGGUGGGGGUAAUGGCCCACCAAGGCGACGACGGGUAGCCGGCCUGAGAGGGUGACCGGCCACAACUGGGACUGAGACACGGCCCAGACUCCUACGGGAGGCAGCCAGUGGGGAAUAUUGGACAAUGGGCGCAAGCCUGAUCCAGCAACGCCGCGUGAGGGGAUGACGGCCUUCGGGUUGUAAACCUCUUUCAGCAGGGACGAAGCGAAAAGUGACGGUUACCUGCAGAAGAAGGACCGGCCAACUACGUGCCAGCAAGCCCGCGGUAAUACGUAGGGUCCGAGCGUUGUUCCGGAAUUAUUGGGCCGUAAAAGGGCUCGUAGGCGGUUUUGUCGCGUCGGGAGUGAAAACUCAGGGCUCAAACCCUGAGCGUGGCUUCCGAUACGGGCAGACUAGAGGUAUGCAAGGGGAGAACGGAAAUUCCUGGUUGUUGUAGCGGUGGGAAUGCGCAGAUAUCAGGAGGAACACCGGUUGGCGAAGGGCGGGUUCUCUGGGCAUUACCUGACGCUGAGGAGGCGAAAGCAAUGGGGAGCGAACAGGAUUAGAUACCCUGGUAGUCCAUGCCGGUAAACGUUGGGCGCUAGGUGGUGGGGGACCUUCCACGGUCUCCGUGCCGCAGCUAACGCAUUUAAGCGCCCCCGCCUGGGAGUACGGCCGCAAGGCUCUAUCUAUAAAACUCAAAGGGAAUUGACGGGGGCCCGCCACCAAGCGGCGGAGCAUGCUGAUUAUUCGAUUGGCAACGCGGAAAAGAAACCUUACCUGGGUUUGACAUAUACCGGAAAGCCAUAGAGAUAUGGCCCCCCCUUGUGGUCGGUAAACAGGUGGUGCAUGGCUUGUCGUCAGCUCGUGUUCGUGAGAUGUUGGGUUAAGUCCCGCAAACGAGGCGCAACCCUCGUCCUAUGUUGCCAGGCAACGUAAUGGUGGGGACUCAUAGGAGGGGCCUUGCCGGGGGUCAACUAUCGGAGGAAGGUUGGGGAUGACGUCAAGUCUUCAUGCCCCUUAUAUCCAGGGCCUUCAAGGCCAUGCUACAAUGGCCGGUAACAAAGGGCUGCGAUAUCGCAAGAUGGAGCGAAUCCCAAAAAGCCGGGUCUCAGUUCGGAUUGGGGUCUGCAACUCGACCCCAUGAAGUCGGAAGUCGCUAGUAAUCGCAGAUCAGCAACGCUGCGGUGAAUACGUUCCCGGGCCUUGUACACACCGCCCGUCACGGUCAUGAAAAGUUGGCAACACCCGAAGCCGGUGGCCCCAACCCUUGUGGAGGGGAGCCGUUCGAAGGUGGGGGCGAGCGAUUGGGACG